rnacentral:rRNA from 1 species
CCCGAAGUAUCCUGAAUCUUUCGCAUUGUUAAUCAUACAAGUGCAUAUAAUAAACAUAAAAAUCAAUGAUAAUUAUGCCAUUAUAUAAUUCCGAAAAAUUAACGCACUGUAAUCAUAUAAAUCUAUCAGCACUUUAUCAAAUUAAUAACAUUUAUUCUGUGUUAAAAUGCAAGCACUUUAAUUUGAAUAAACUAUAAGUUAUAUUUUAUGAUAAAUUUGGGAUAUGCUAAUAGAUUACAAUGUCCUUAUAUGGAAAAAAUGCACACUAUCCUCAUAAUAUUAUUUAAAUAUUACAAUUUUAAUGAUGAAUUUUCCAUAACGGAUAUUCAGGUUCAUCGGGC